UACGGAGGGAGCAAGCGUUACUCGGAAUUAUUGGGCGUAAAGGGCGCGUAGGCGAUUUGAAAAGUCUUGUGUGAAAGCCCCGGGCUUAACCCGGGAAGUGCACAAGAAACUGUUGAAUUUGAGUUCCGGAGAGGAAGGCAGAAUUCCCGGUGUAGCGGUGAAAUGCGUAGAUAUCAGGAGGAACACCGGUGGCGAAGGCGGGUCUCUGGGCCGAUACUGACGCUGAGGAGCGAAAGCGUGGGGAGCGAACAGG
rnacentral:rRNA from 1 species